UAUUAAAAAAAUAUUAUUGUCUAUGCUGAGGUGCAAAAGUGCAACAUCGUUCAUUAUAGAAACAAAUGCCCCAUAAGUGUCCGCCCCAGUGAAUGGUAUGGAUCUUGAGCAUAUUUUAAACUGGCCGUCAACUCCCGAGGAAGAGAACUUCCUUAAUGCCAUCCUCGAGUCUCUGACUAAGUACGACGAGGAUGGAACUCGCUAUGUGGACGCCGAGGCUGUUAUAGCGGUGGUCCAUCGAAUUUGGGCUUGACAAGGACUAAUUUAAAGACAGCUGCACCAAAUGCCCUAAAUUUGGCUGCGUCUUUAAUCCUGCUUUGAAUAUGUUUGCAAUCUUCUCCUUCUUAGAGCUAUUAGAUACACGGACACUGUUUGGCUUAGCGACUAAAUUGUAAUUCUGAAUAUACUGCAAUGUGAAA